ensembl:lncRNA
CUCCAAGUUCCCCCUCCCCGUUCCUCAGAGAACUCAGGUUCUCGCCUCUGCUUGUUAUGUUAGAGUAAUAUAGCAAAAACGUAAAAGAAUCACUCUAUAUAUUUUUUAAGAUUUACUUAUCUUAUUUUAUGUGUAUGAAUGUUUUGUCUGCAUUCUCAUCACUGGGUGCCAGAAGGCAGUAGAGGGCGACACAAUUGAAGUGGACAAUAAAUUGAUUCGGAAACCUGGUUCAUCCUGUGGUCUUGUACAGAGAGCAGAGCAAUGAUCUGGAAAAAGCUGGGCUAAAGCAGCAUGACUAAGAGCAGCAGCAGCAUAUGGAAAAAGAUUUAUUGGGCUUACGGCUGCAAGAGGAGUGAGCGUCCCUAAGUGACCAGAAGGCACAGCAGCCAGAGAGAUCACAUCUUCAACCACAAGUACAAAGCAGAGAGAACACUGGGAGGAAAGCACUCUCCAUACUCAAAGCCUGGCCCCAGUUACCUACUCCUUCCAUCAAGGCCACACUUCCAAAAGAUUCUGAAACAUUCUUCAAACAAUGCCAUCAAUUGGGGACCAAGAGUUUAAAUACCUGGCUCAUGGAAGACUUUUCUGAUCACAAAAUUGAGAUGGGUCUAGAAAGGUUUCUUAUAGGUGCUAGAACCAUCUAUCCAUUUCCCCUCCCCUCACCCACCCAGGUCCCUCCAUUCCUCUGCCCCCAUGAUUGUUUUCUUCUCCAUCCCAAAUGAAGUGUCCUCAUUUGGGCCCUCCUGCUUGCUAACCUUCUUGAGUUCUAUGGAUUGUAUCCUGAGGAUUCUGUACCUUUUUGCCUAAUACCCAUUUAUUAGUAAGUACAUACCAUGCACGUCCCUUUGGGUCUGAGUUACCUCAUUCAGGAUGAUAUUUUCUAGUUCCAUCCAUUUGCCUGCAAAACUCAUGAUGCCCUUGCUCUUAAUAGCUGAGUAGUAUUCCAUUGUGUAGAGGAACCACGUUUUCUGUAUCUUUUCUUCUUUUGUGGGACAUUUGGGUUGUUUCCAGCUUCUGGCUAUCACAAAUAAGGUUGCUAUGAACAUAGUGGAGUAUAUGCCCCUGUGGCAUGGUGGGGUAUCUUUUGACUAUAUGCCCAAGAGUGGUACAUUUAUUUCCUGACAGAUUUAUUUCCAAUUUUCUGAGGAACCUCCAGAUUGAUAUCCAGAGUGGUUGUACCAGCUCGCAAUCCCACCAAAAAUGGGCAGCUGAUCAAGACAGACACAGAUACUUACAUCCAACCAAUGGUCUGAAGUCAGGGACCUCUGUGGUUGAGUUAGGGAAAGACUGGAAGUUGAGGAAGAGGGGGAUCCCAUAGGAAGACCAGCAGUCUCAACUAACCUGGACACCCCCAGAUCUCUCAAGACACUGAGCCUCUCACCAACCAGGAAGCAUACAUUAGCUGGU